CUCAUUCUGCCUUGCCUGCCACCAUGUAAGAUGUCCCUUGCUCUUCCACCAUGAUUGUGAGGCCUCUCCAGCCAUGUGAAACUGUCUGUGUAGGUUUUUUCUGGCUACUCCUGUUUCCUCCCACAUCCCAAAGGUGUGCCUAUGAGGUGAACUGCCAUGUCUACACAUCCCAGUAUGAGUGAGUGCAGGUGGUGUGCACGCGCCCUGCGAUGGGAGUGUGUCCUAUUCAGGGCUGGUUCCCGCCUUGCGCCCUAAGCUUUGGAGAUAGGCUUCGGCCACCCUCAACCCUGAACUGGAAUAAGCAGAAAACCACAUCUGGUCAGGAGCCCAGUGUGUCCCACUUGGACAAGAAUAGAAAUCUCUCUUCUGGAAUAUGAUCUUCUCUGGUUGGAGCCAAUGGUUUCUUUCAGACCUGAGAUAUCCUGAUGAAGCAGACCACACCUGCCCUCAGAGAUGACCUCAUGAGGAAGCUGAGCUGCAUAACAAACAUCUCUGCUGCUCAGCCACCUCCACUCUUUUUCAACAGACCUUGGAGAUAGCACAGCACCCACACCAAAAAAUCAGGAAGCUCUCUUAUCAGCAAUCUUUCUGUACCUAUGAAAUCAGACAUUCCAGCCAUGGCAGAACCUCCUGAGUGGGCCAGAGCCUCAGAGUCAGGAAAAGCUGGGGCCUAAUGAUGUUUCAAAUCAAAUCACUCUGUAGGGGAUUUUCCAUUUAACAUAUUGUGAUUGUGCAGUAACAUUAGUCUUUGCCAUUUAAUUUAUUAAAUUUUAAAAUCUUAUAAUAUCCUCAA
rnacentral:lncRNA from 1 species